rnacentral:rRNA from 1 species
GACGAACGCUGGCGGCGUGCUUAACACAUGCAAGUCGAACGGAAAGGCCCUGCUUUUGUGGGGUGCUCGAGUGGCGAACGGGUGAUUAACACGUGAGUAACCUGCCCUUGACUUUGGGAUAACUUCAGGAAACUGGGGCUAAUACCGGAUAGGAGCUCCUGCUGCAUGGUGGGGGUUGGAAAGUUUCGGCGGUUGGGGAUGGACUCGCGGCUUAUCAGCUUGUUGGUGGGGUAGUGGCUUACCAAGGCUUUGACGGGUAGCCGGCCUGAGAGGGUGACCGGACACAUUGGGACUGAGAUACGGCCGAGACUCAUACGGGAGGCAGCAGGGGGGAAUAUUGCACAAUGGGCGGAAGCCUGAUGCAGCAACGCCGCGUGCGGGAUGACGGCCUUCGGGUUGUAAACCGCUUUCGACGGUGAAGAAGCGUGAGUGACGGUAAUGGGUAAAGAAGCACCGGCUAACUACGUG